GUAUGUACCAUAUACUAUAUGCAACGAUCAAAAUUGGCUUUACUCAAAUUGCUGCAGGACAGUGCGCAGUAACGAGAAUUUCGUCGAGUUUCCCAAGUUAACGCGCAAAUUGUUAUUAACGUUGCAAAACAGUCUCGGCACUAGGAGAAGAAACGUAAUUUUAGACUCAAGUUUAUUCCCACGUAUCAAUCUUAAUCGGUAUGACCUUCUUUUUCAUGGAAAACAAAGACUUAAGUAUCUUAAUAAUAAAGUAAUGAUACUCAA